UACGUAGGGUGCAAGCGUUGUCCGGAAUUAUUGGGCGUAAAGAGCUUGUAGGCGGUUUGUCGCGUCUGCUGUGAAAAUCCGGGGCUCAACCCCGGACGUGCAGUGGGUACGGGCAGACUAGAGUGUGGUAGGGGAGACUGGAAUUCCUGGUGUAGCGGUGAAAUGCGCAGAUAUCAGGAGGAACACCGGUGGCGAAGGCGGGUCGCUGGGCAGUAACUGACGCUGAGGAGCGAAAGCGUGGGGAGCGAACAGG
rnacentral:rRNA from 1 species